rnacentral:rRNA from 1 species
UACGAAGGGUGCAAACGUUGCUCGGAAUUAUUGGGCGUAAAGCGCACGUAGGCGGCUUUGCAAGUCCCAUGUGAAAUCCCACGGCUCAACCGUGGAAGUGCAUGGGAAACUGCAGAGCUUGAGUACUUAAGAGGAUCGCGGAAUUCCCGGUGUAGAGGUGAAAUUCGUAGAUAUCGGGAGGAACACCAGUGGCGAAGGCGGCGAUCUGGGAAGAUACUGACGCUGAGGCGCGAAAGCGUGGGGAGCAAACAGG